UACGUAGGCAGCAAGCGUUGUUCGGAAUUACUGGGCGUAAAGAGUGUGUAGGUGGUGAUCUAAGUCUGUCGUGAAAUCUCCCGGCUUAACUGGGAGGGUGCGGUGGAAACUGGAUCGCUAGAGUAUGGGAGAGGUAAGCGGAAUUCCUGGUGUAGCGGUGAAAUGCGUAGAUAUCAGGAGGAACACCUGUGGUGUAGACAGCUUACUGGACCAUUACUGACACUGAGACACGAAAGCGUGGGUAGCAAACAGG
rnacentral:rRNA from 1 species